rnacentral:tRNA from 1 species
GGCUGUAGCUCAGUGGCAGAGUGUUUGCCUAGCAUGCGUGAGACACUGGAUUCAAUUCUCAGCACCA